rnacentral:tRNA from 1 species
CCCAGUAUAGUGUAACGGCUAUCACAUUACGCUCUUGCUGUGUAUGCCGGGGUUCGACUCCCCGCAGUGGAA